AACACAUGCAAGUCGAGCGAGGUAGCAAUACCUAGCGGCAGACGGGUGCGUAACAUGUGGGAAUCUGCCUUUUGGUUCGGAAUAACACGAGGAAACUUGUGCUAAUACCGGAUAAGUCUUUACGGAGAAAGCUUUAUGCACCAUUGGAUGAGCCCGCACUUGAUUAGCUAGUUGGUAAGGUAAUGGCUUACCAAGGCAACGAUCAAUAGCUGAUUUGAGAGGAUGAUCAGCCACACUGGGACUGAGAUACGGCCUAGACUCC
rnacentral:rRNA from 1 species